GUUUAAGCUACAUUUUUUAAGUUGUUUAUUAGGCUAGUUCUUUUUGUUUAGUUACACUGAAUAGUUGACAGUCUGACAGUUGUUUUGGUUAGAACCUACCAAAAAAUAUGCUAGAGAAUGUUGAAUCUAGGAUCUCUUGUUUGGGCCUUAGGUUUUGCGUCCUGUACUAAACCUCGCAAGCAUAUCAAGACACUGUUAAAGCUGAAAGAUAUGCUUGAUACAUCUAUUAGUAUGGAGAUUUUGUUUUGACUUAGCCCUAGUUGUUACUGUUCUAUUUCGUGGUGUUUAAUAUAUGAAGGUACAACUUAAAAGAGAAACCUCAAGUACAAAUAUUUUAAGUAUUGAUAGCAGGUUGCUUUAUCGUUCUUGUUCCCAGAAGCUGGUCUAUCUUGCAUCUGUAUUUUACAUGAAUUUUGAAGACGUUAGAAGCAAAUCUGAUUCAGUUUUGGAAUUUAUGCGCUCAAUGUUUACUUUGGUGAUUUUAAUGCCUAUUUGGGCUUGCAAGACAUGGUGUAAUUUUGUAGUAAUUGAUGAAAACUACUAAAUUAGUUUUCAAGGAAAAGAGCGGGAACCAUGAUGCAAAUUAAUGCAAACGCCAAGCAGAAUUUAAGCGAACUUAUUAACAAAAUAAUCAUGAAUAAUCGAGAAUCUACUGCAAAAAGAGUGAUAGGUAGUGAAUACGGAACACUGAAAAUCUGCCAGUUUGGUGCAACCAUUCUGUAACUGAUUAGGGACUAAGGAAAGCCUAUUUGGAAGAGGAAAAUCAAGGAUCUACACUUGUUUCCAUAGGUUACUCCUCCAUUGGUCAUAUUAGGAUAUAUGUCACGGAUUUGUCUUCUUUAUUGCUAUACACUCCUCACUUUAUAAGUUUCUGUUCCACCUUACUUUUUUAUUGGUUUGUUUUUGUAUGACAUUAGUGGUGGGCUGCUGGCAAACACGGCCGGAAAAACUGUAUUUAAUGGGUGGGGACAAAUGGUAUUUUUGAUGAUGGGUGAUUUGGGGAAAUAGCCCAAACCAACCAUGUAGUGAACUGGUCAACUUGGACUGAAUCAAUAACCCAAAUCAACCCGUGAAACUGUAAAAGGCAGAGCCCGAUUGAUCAUCACCAUAAUUUUGAGCAUAUAUGGAGACAUAGGUGGGCGUGUAAUAAACUGGUAAAUGAGGCUAUCUUUAUUCAUUCUAAGAUUCUAACAUUUUGUCAUUUUUUUUGUCUAAAAGGAUGAGAAUAUUUUUUUCCGUUGUAACAACAAUAUUAUUUUUCAGAUAAACUAGUGAACUGUCAUACAAGUUAUAGGUCUCGUAAAAUAUCCAUAUAGGAAGACUAGUUUCUGAAGAGGCCUCUUGAAUGAGAGAUAUAAGAACCAGAAGUAUGGCAACUACUAGAAAUCCACAUUUUACUAGAGGCAUCCAACCUUUUCACUGAACAAACUCAAAAUUUUUGGUAUCAAUAGCUUGAGCAGGCAGAUGAUUCACAAAUAUCGGGAAACAUGUGUGUGAAGCAACAAACUGAGGCAACCAAUUCCAUGAAAAAGAUGCUCUCUCCAAGUCCUUAUUCAAUCCUUGAUAAAUCUGUUGGGUCUAUUGUAGUUGUGAUUGCUCUCCAUAUUACUGUGUGCUAUAUGAGAAACAACACCCACAAUAUAGCCAAUACUGUGUGCAUAUGCAACAAUAGACCAACAGUACUAAUAGGCUGAGAAAAGGGAGAGACGAUUGAUGUGCACAAAUUUAUCUUUGAGAAAAGGAUUUUUCAACAUACAUUUCAAAUUGGAUUUAUUUUUUAAUUGCAUAUAGAAAUACUCAACUUGGAAACUUCAUAACUCUCUAUAGUCCAUAUGGUUAUUUUUGUUCCUAAGUGUAUGAUCUUUUAUUUUUAGCUCCAUGUAUAUAUCUCACGUAGUUUAGUUUCUAUAUUAUGUCUUUACAUUUGCAAGAAUCUGAACAAUGUCUGACUUCAUUAUGCAAAUGAGAAGAAAAGAUAAAGUAUUAUGUUGCAAUCUAUAUGAUUGUGUGCAGUGUUGUGGACGGCGAGAGGCGACAAAAGGCGACAAGGGCCUGCCUCGCCACGCGGCGAGGCGCUUGCCUUUUUGAAUAAAGGCGCGAAUUAAUACCAAAAAUUAAAAAUAUUUAAUUGCAUAUUUUAUCCAAAAUCUUAAUAGCAAUAACACAUAUUAGCAAAUAUUCAAUUCAAAAAUCAAUAGUAGAUACUAAAAUGUCUAAAACUUUAAAGACCAAACAAUUCAAAAUACAAUAAACCAAAACUUUAAAAGUCUAUUCUUCUUCAAAAUUAUAACCCUUGAGUGCCAUAAUUCCAUCCAAUGUCCCUCUUUUUGCUAGCAUCCGCCAUUGAUUAUUAAAUUCAAUUAAUUCGCUGUUUAGGACUAUUGGAAUAAAUAAUUAGGAAAAGAGAGGAUUUAUUUUAAUUAACUGCCUAUAAUUUAAAAAAAAAAGUUUACACAAAGCAGUAAGCAACUAAGCACUGCUUAGUGCUUACAACCUUACACCAAAAAAACACAAC